AUGUAGCUCAGUAGUAGAACACCUACCUGGCAUGUAUGAGGCCCUGGGUUCCAUCCCCAGCAU
rnacentral:tRNA from 1 species